rnacentral:rRNA from 1 species
UACGGGGGGGGCAAGCGUUGUUUGGAAUUACUGGGCGUAAAGGGCUCGUAGGCGGCCAACUAAGUCAGACGUGAAAUCCCUCGGCUUAACCGGGGAACUGCGUCUGAUACUGGAUGGCUUGAGUUUGGGAGAGGGAUGCGGAAUUCCAGGUGUAGCGGUGAAAUGCGUAGAUAUCUGGAGGAACACCGGUGGCGAAGGCGGCAUCCUGGGCCAACACUGACGCUGAGUGAGCGAAAGCCAGGGGAGCAAACGGG